rnacentral:rRNA from 1 species
GUGAGUAGUUCAGAGUUUGAUCCUGGCUCAGGAUGAACGCUAGCGGCAGGCUUAACACAUGCAAGUCGAGGGGCAGCGUGAUGAAGUAGCAAUACAGAUUCGACGGCGACCGGCGCACGGGUGCGUAACGCGUAUGUAACCUACCCUUAACAGGGGGAUAACACUGAGAAAUUGGUACUAAUACCCCAUAAUAGUCUGGAGGGCAUCCUCUGGAUUUGAAAGUUCCGGCGGUUGUAGAUGGGCAUGCGUUGUAUUAGCUAGUUGGUGAGGUAACGGCUCACCAAGGCGACGAUACAUAGGGGGACUGAGAGGUUAACCCCCCACAUUGGUACUGAGACACGGACCAA